rnacentral:rRNA from 1 species
GACGAACGCUGGCGGCGUGCUUAACACAUGCAAGUCGAACGGAAAGGCUCCAGCUUGCUGGAGUACUCGAGUGGCGAACGGGUGAGUAACACGUGGGUAAUCUGCCCUGCACUCUGGGAUAAGCCUGGGAAACUGGGUCUAAUACUGGAUAUGACCUUUCUCCUCAUGGGGUUUGGUGGAAAGUUUUUCGGUGUAGGAUGAGCCCGCGGCCUAUCGGCUUGUUGGUGGGGUGAUGGCCUACCAAGGCUACGACGGGUAGCCGGCCUGAGAGGGUGAUCGGCCACAUUGGGACUGAGAUACGGCCCAGACUCCUACGGGAGGCAGCAGUGGGGAAUAUUGCACAAUGGGCGGAAGCCUGAUGCAGCGACGCCGCGUGAGGGAUGACGGCCUUCGGGUUGUAAACCUCUUUCGACAGUGACGAAGCGUAAGUGACGGUACCUGCAGAAGAAGCACCGGCUAACUAUGUG